rnacentral:rRNA from 1 species
GAAUCUGGCUCCAGACUAUCAGGUACAGUUGGAAACGACUGCUAAUACCGGAUGUGCCGAGAGGUGAAAGAUUUAUUGCCUGGAGAUGAGCUCGCGUCUGAUUAGCUAGUUGGYGGUGUAAGGGACCACCAAGGCRUCGAUCAGUAGCUGGUCUGAGAGGAUGAUCAGCCACACUGGGACUGAGACACGGCCCAGACUCCUACGGGAGGCAGCAGUGGGGAAUUUUCCGCAAUGGGCGAAAGCCUGACGGAGCAAUACCGCGUGAGGGAGGAAGGCUCUUGGGUCGUAAACCUCUUUUCUCAAGGAAGAAGAAAGUGACGGUACUUGAGGAAUAAGCAUCGGCUAACUCCGUGCCAGCAGCCGCGGUAAUACGGAGGAUGCAAGCGUUAUCCGGAAUGAUUGGGCGUAAAGGGUCUGCAGGUGGAACUGAAAGUCUGCUGUUAAAGAGUUUGGCUUAACCAAAUAAAAGCGGUGGAAACUACAGAACUAGAGUGCGGUAGGGGCAAAAGGAAUUCCUGGUGUAGCGGUGAAAUGCGUAGAUAUCAGGAAGAACACCGGUGGCGAAAGCGUUUUGCUAGACCGUAACUGACACUGAGGGACGAAAGCUA